GGGGGAAUCACAACAGUUUUAGAUGUAAUGUUUUUCUAAAAUAAGAGCCUGGGUGGGUGCUGUUUUCCAAUACAUCAUGAUGCACUGAAUAUUUAUUACUCAACGUAAGAAUAAAACACUGAAACUCCUGUAAGGAGGGAUGCAAUGAAAUGGGUGCAUAAGACGUUUUUCUUUUUACUGGAAUUAUAGCAUUUACAUACUGUUCAAUUGUUCCAACCAGCAAGCAAUGUAACUUAGAUUGUUUCUCAGGACUGAUGAACCGUUAUCCACUUUUUCUUUUUUUUCUUUUUUUGUCUAAUCUGAGCAUGCUCUGUGAGGAACCUCACACACACGUCCGUCUACAGAGCCUUGCUAAUAUACAUACACGCUCUUGGAUUGGUUUCAUAUUUUGUCACGUUUCAAUCACAAAAUUCAAAGCUUUGUAAUGCAGUUGUUUGUUGCAACAAAGUAUUUUAUUAAUGUAGAAGGACUUUUUUUUCUUACAAAUAAAACUCUAAAAAAUGUGGUGUGCAUUUGUAUUCAAACUAUCUGGGUCAAUAAUUUGUGUAACCACCAUUUGUGUUUUUUGGGGUGUAUCUUGGACAUGUAGAGGUUAAUAUUUGUGCCCGUUCUUGUCCUCCAAAUUGGACUUAAUCCCGAAUGUUGACAUGUCGUUACAAACCAAGAACUUCUUCCAUUAAUCAAGUUUUUAUUGGAGAAAAAAAAAAAAAAUCUUGUGUUGGUCCAUCACUUUUGGUAAUUGUGAUCGUAACGUGACAAACCGUGUGGGAAAGUUUCAACGGGGGUGCGAACGCGCUCACGUAUAUGUGUAUGGGUACUGCAGUGCAAUAACAUGAAUGCAAAUUCAAAUCUCUUGUCUGAGUAGGUGUUGCUGCGACACCUAUGCAUGCACAAUUACCGCUGUACACAUUCCUCAGAGUCUUGUGAGCAAACUGCAAACUAAAAUGUGAUUCCAAACCUUUCCUGAUGUGCAUCUGUCUCUGUAAGACGUCGCUCGGGCUCACUGUGGUGCAAAAUGGCUCCGAAAGGUGCGGCUGCGGGGUUCGUCGCCAAAAAUGUGUCGAAGAAGUGUUUAUGUAAGACUUAUGUAACACGAUGUGGGUAGUGGGAGGCAUGGAGAGAGCAAGACAGACACACAGAUUGUGUGUGUCAGAGAGGAACGUGAUUUGUAUAAAGUCUGUACGUGAGUCACCGAUACCUAAAUGUCCAGGAUCAGCGCACAGUGCAUCGCUGAAGUAAAUAAAGUGGAGAGAGAGAGAGACAGAGAGAGAGAGAGAGAGAAAGAGAGAGAGAGAGAGAGAGAGAGAGAGAGAGAUGUGGAGAGGACACCCACUGCGUGCUGCAGCCUUGCUGGUGUUUCUAUUAAUGCUGCGUGCGUGGGAGACGGGGUCGACUCUGCAAGUGUGCAUGUAACAAGCGAACCUCACUCACACUUUUGCAGAUAUGCAGCAAUAGAGGACGUGAGAAUCAUAAAGCUUUUGCUGCUUUUAUUUCUCUGACUCACAUCUUCCUUCAUGCACACAAGAAGGUUCAUCACGUGUAUUUCUGCUUGUUAAAACGUACGCUGAAUGAAUUUUGAGUGUGUGUCCCUUUAUAUGCAGAGCCAAAACCCUCAAAAAAUGCAGGUGCUUGCAGCGCUACUUUUGUAAAUAAAUAAAUAAAUAAUUUCCAGACCUCCGGAGGCAGUCUUGGCAGAUCUGGAGUUGGAUGUGCGCUCGUCUCUGCGGGACGCAGCGCAGCGCUCUGUGUGGGCAGGUGUAUGUGGGAGCAGAGAACAGAUGAGGAGAGAAGUGGAUGAAAAACGAGUUUCUUAAAUCGGGGAUGUGGGUGCGUUUAGCAGAUCCUUUGCUGGAGUGGUUCUGAAUGGUUUUUAUUGAUGUUAUUGGACCUUUUCGGUUUGGACUUCCUGGGUUGCACGUGAACGGUCCUCUGGUGUUGGAGGAUGUAGGCGUCAGGCUGUGGGCUUCGGUGAAAGGAGAUCGCUGCGACGUCUCCACCGUUCCUCCUCUGAUGCCAUGGCAACUGCUGUGCCUCGCUGUUUUAUUUAUUUAUUUGAAUUGCUGUGUGAGGAGGGAGAACCUACCUGAAUACCAACAGUGGUCAGGACAAUCAGGAGGGCUGCGGAAAAAAAAACCUGUGUGCGUGUCACACGUUUACACUUUUGCUCUUUAGUCUUUUUAUUCAGAAUGAAUAAACUUUAUGUAGUAAAACACAAAGCAAAGAGUUAAGAGUUUAUUUACAGCUGAUGAUAUACCGGUAAUAUGUACAAGUAGCAACAAUUACAUUCAGAAAUAAGAAAAAGUUUAAAGCACAACUUUUUUUGGACGUGUUAAAUUUCUGUUCUUCUGAGAAAAAUCACACAAUUUGGUCCUGAAAUUUUUUCAAAAAAUUUCCAUGAAAUAUUUUUGCUUUGUAUACAAAUGUACAAAAUCAGUUAAAAAAACACACACACACAUACACAUACACACACACACAUAAUCAUGUGAUCUUGUUUAGCAACACAGAAAAUUACACAGAAAACUGCCUAGUAGCACAGAUUUUUUUUUUUUUUUUUUUCAAUGAAAAAUCAUCUUCCAUCAGUAGUUCAACAACAUAGCAGCUUCUAACUUACCCAUCAUGUGUCUCUGUCUCUGUCCUCAGCCAAAAAUGGUUUCAGACGACCCCCACCCCCUCCAACCUUUUCAGCCUCUAAAAAAGCGUCUCGGCGUCUUGUCCUUUUGUCUCUGUCUCCCUCCGCUGAUGUCCCUGCGCUCCCUCCGUCUGUCUCCAUCCUCACAUCUUGACGUCUCGCCCGCUCUCUGCCUCUCCGAGCUGCUGUGUGAGGUUUAUACAUUGGCGGGAGCGGUGACAGCGCCGCUCCGUCCGUGUGCGUGAGCGUGUGUGUGUGUGUGUGUGUGUGUGUGUGUGAGCGUACGGCUGAGUGUCAGUUUUGCAUGUGCAUGUGUAGGAUGAGGUGUCGUCUCCCUCGUAUGCGUCACACAUGCAGACACGCUUGCGGAGCGGGGUGGAUGUUGCGUAAGGACUGAAGGCGAGCUAGGAGUUCAGUGGGAAUUAUAUCAGGGUUUUCUCCGUCUUUCACACCUCACAGAGUGGGUGUUGUGGCUCAGCAGAGGGAUGCUGCAGUGUGAGAGGAUAUACAGUGUGUGUAUGUGUGUGCUUGUGUUAGAGAAAAGAUGGAGUGAAACUGAGAAUAUAGCCGCCUCCAUCUGUCCGGGACUUUUAUGCUGACUUUUAUAUAUACAAGUCAGCAUACGAGUCUCU